rnacentral:rRNA from 1 species
UACGGGGGGGGGCAAGCGUUGUUCGGAAUUACUGGGCGUAAAGGGCUCGUAGGCGGCCAACUAAGUCAGACGUGAAAUCCCUCGGCUUAACCGGGGAACUGCAUCUGAUACUGGAUGGCUUGAGUUCGGGAGAGGGAUGCGGAAUUCCAGGUGUAGCGGUGAAAUGCGUAGAUAUCUGGAGGAACACCGGUGGCGAAGGCGGCAUCCUGGACCAGACUCGUACGCUGAGGAGCGAAAGCCAGGGGAGCAAACGGG